AAUGAAGCACUUGGGCCAAUCGGGGAAUGGACACUUUAGGACUGUGUCCGAGUCCACAAACUCCUAGAAACAGUUCUUCUUGACCAUGAUGCUGCUUUAAGAUGGAAGGAGCAAUGUGCCAAGUACUCUCCUUACUCCACAUACUUUGAGGGCAGACUCAGCUCUGCCAUGCCCAACUCUGUGUACAACCAAAGUAACAACUCAAAAAAUGGAAACCAUUCGGUAGUUGGAAAAACUGCAGAAUCUCUUGCAUCAAACGAUAAGCUCGAGGCAUUUAAAGAUCUUACCAUCUGACUAUGAUGUUGAGGCCGAUGUUCAGUUAAAACAUUUUUAGAGUUGCAAUCUCUUGUUUUAUUAUCCCUUAAUUUGGCUGAAUUUCCUUCUCCAGAGGUUGCAACAAUAAUUACUGGACAAGCCUAGUACUCUUCCAUUUGAUGAGGAGGCUGGAAAUUAUGUAAAAGAUGAUGUAUGGCCUGCCCUUAUUGUUGAGACAAGCAAUGUUUCUGAUCUCCAUGGAUAUACUGUCAGGGCUUUAUACAGGGCAUUCUAACAUCAUCUGAACAGGCUGAUAUGACCAUGUUAGAAGACGAACGACCAACAAAAAGAUGACUUUUAUCAGCCCUUGUCAAGGAAUUAGGUGAGGCCUACUCUCACUUGAAUUCUCAGUAAGCAUCCAUUGAAAAUUAUUGGGUAUUCUCAUUCUAUUAUAAAUGAUUGCAUAUUAUAACCAUUUUCUCUGU